rnacentral:lncRNA from 1 species
GGGGUCUGAGAAUUAUGGUCUCCCAUCGCAUUCUCACCCCCAGACUCUCUACCCGAAGCAGCCAUGGAAAAGAAGCAAAACAAAAGUCCAAGGGAAGAGUGAAAUGGUAAAGGAGAAACCUUGCAAGGGGGGACGAUGACGAGAAGUCCGACAAAAAUGAAGGACCGACAACGAUGAAAGCCGACUGAGAUGAAGACAACCGACUGUGAUGGAAUCUAACCUCCAGAAACCCUGGGCUCGCUGUCACGUGGCAAGGGAUCAAGGGGCCGGAGGAAGGGGCAAGAGCUCUGGAGUUGGAAGAGGGCUUGAAGGUAGGGGGACCCCUAUUUAUAGACCUCCUCGAUGGCCAAGAUCAAUGUAGAAAGCCACACCUUGCAUGGAGAUUUCGACACAUGGCUGCAAUCUCAACCGACUAGUUUCUUGGCUUUUCGAUGCACCAUUGCUAGGAUCGCACCACGUCAGCUGGAUC